UUUCAAGUGCUAAGCUAGAAAUCUUCUAUAAAUAGAGGCCUAGUGCUUCAUUAUUUUUCACGAAUUCAUUCAAGCUAUAGAGAGAGAAAGUAUAGAGAGAAUAAGAGAGAAAGAAGAAGAGUAUUUUGUUACUACACUACUGCAGUAUUCAAUCUCCUACUAAUGUAAGGGGUGUUAUUCUUUCUUAUUCAUGAAGAGAACUGUUGUUAUUCCAUUGCUUAUUAUUCUGUUGGAAUAACCUGUAUACGCGGUUUACCCUAUACUUGGUGACAUUCUUCUAUUAUUCUGUUGGAA
rnacentral:lncRNA from 1 species